GUUUUGAAAAAGUUUGUUGCUUUCUGCCACCAAUUUUACAUCAAUAUUUUCACAGAAUCGCAAAAAAUGAAUGGGCACACCAAGGACUGAACUGCGUAAAUGACAAAAGAACAUAAACAAGAAGGAAGCACCAAAGCACCGUACAGAAGGGGAGUUACUCCGAUUAAAAAUUAGUUGCGUUUUUGAAUAUUGAAAUGAAAAUAAA